UACGUAGGUUGCGAGCGUUAUUCGGAUUUACUGGGCGUAAAGCGCACCGAGGUGGCAUCUUAAGUUGGAUGUAAAAUCUCCCGGCUUAACCGGGAGGCGCCAUUCAAAACUGAGAAGCUUGAGACCAACAGGGGAAGGCGGAAUUCCCGGUGUAGUGGUGGAAUGCGUAGAGAUCGGGAGGAACACCAGUGGCGAAAGCGGCCUUCUGGGUUGCGUCUGACACUCUAGUGCGAAAGCGUGGGGAGCAAACAGG
rnacentral:rRNA from 1 species